rnacentral:rRNA from 1 species
CCUACGGGUGGCUGCAGUGGGGAAUAUUGGACAAUGGGGGGAACCCUGAUCCAGCCAUGCCGCGUGUGUGAAGAAGGCCCUCGGGUUGUAAAGCACUUUCAGUGAGGAAGAACGCCUGGUGGUUAAUACCCAUCAGGAAAGACAUCACUCACAGAAGAAGCACCGGCUAACUCCGUGCCAGCAGCCGCGGUAAUACGGAGGGUGCGAGCGUUAAUCGGAAUUACUGGGCGUAAAGCGCGCGUAGGUGGUUUGAUAAGCCGGGUGUGAAAGCCCCGGGCUCAACCUGGGAACGGCAUCCGGAACUGUCAAGCUAGAGUGCAGGAGAGGAAGGUAGAAUUCCCGGUGUAGCGGUGAAAUGCGUAGAGAUCGGGAGGAAUACCAGUGGCGAAGGCGGCCUUCUGGACUGACACUGACACUGAGGUGCGAAAGCGUGGGUAGCAAACAGGAUUAGAUACCCUAGUAGUC